rnacentral:rRNA from 1 species
AGCCGCGGUAAUACGUAGGGUGCAAGCGUUAAUCGGAAUUACUGGGCGUAAAGCGUGCGCAGGCGGGUCGUUAAGUUGGGGGUGAAAUCCCGAGGCUCAACCUCGGAACUGCCUUCAAAACUGGCGACCUGGACCCAAGUAGAGGCAAGUGGAAUUGCGAGUGUAGAGGUGAAAUUCGUAGAUAUUCGCAGGAACACCAGUGGCGAAGGCGACUUGCUGGACUUGUGGUGACGCUGAGACGCGAAAGCGUGGGGAGCAAACA